rnacentral:rRNA from 1 species
GACGAACGCUGUUGGCGUGCUUAACACAUGCAAGUCGAACGGAAAGGCCCUGCUUUUGUGGGGUGCUCGAGUGGCGAACGGGUGAGUAACACGUGAGUAACCUGCCCUUGACUUUGGGAUAACUUCAGGAAACUGGGGCUAAUACCGGAUAGGAGCUCCUGCUGCAUGGUGGGGGUUGGAAAGUUUCGGCGGUUGGGGAUGGACUCGCGGCUUAUCAGCUUGUUGGUGGGGUAGUGGCUUACCAAGGCUUUGACGGGUAGCCGGCCUGAGAGGGUGACCGGCCACAUUGGGACUGAGAUACGGCCCAGACUCCUACGGGAGGCAGCAGUGGGGAAUAUUGCACAAUGGGCGGAAGCCUGAUGCAGCAACGCCGCGUGCGGGAUGACGGCCUUCGGGUUGUAAACCGCUUUCGCCUGUGACGAAGCGUGAGUGACGGUAAUGGGUAAAGAAGCACCGGCUAACUACGUGCCAGCAGCCGCGGUGAUACGUAGGGUGCGAGCGUUGUCCGGAUUUAUUGGGCGUAAAGGGCUCGUAGGUGGUUGAUCGCGUCGGAAGUGUAAUCUUGGGGCUUAACCCUGAGCGUGCUUUCGAUACGGGUUGACUUGAGGAAGGUAGGGGAGAAUGGAAUUCCUGGUAGAGCGGUGGAAUGCGCAGAUAUCAGGAGGAACACCAGUGGCGAAGGCGGUUCUCUGGGCCUUUCCUGACGCUGAGGAGCGAAAGCGUGGGGAGCGAACAGGCUUAGAUACCCUGGUAGUCCACGCUGUAAACGGUGGGUACUAGGUGUGGGGUCCAUUCCACGGGUUCCGUGCCGUAGCUAACGCUUUAAGUACCCCGCCUGGGGAGUACGGCCGCAAGGCUAAAACUCAAAGGAAUUGACGGGGCCCCGCACAAGCGGCGGAGCAUGCGGAUUAAUUCGAUGCAACGCGUAGAACCUUACCUGGGUUUGACAUGGAUCGGGAGUGCUCAGAGAUGGGUGUGCCUCUUUUGGGGUCGGUUCACAGGUGGUGCAUGGCUGUCGUCAGCUCGUGUCGUGAGAUGUUGGGUUAAGUCCCGCAACGAGCGCAACCCUUGUUCACUGUUGCCAGCACGUUAUGGUGGGGACUCAGUGGAGACCGCCGGGGUCAACUCGGAGGAAGGUGGGGAUGACGUCAAGUCAUCAUGCCCCUUAUGUCCAGGGCUUCACGCAUGCUACAAUGGCUGGUACAGAGAGUGGCGAGCCUGUGAGGGUGAGCGAAUCUCGGAAAGCCGGUCUCAGUUCGGAUUGGGGUCUGCAACCCGACCUCAUGAAGUCGGAGUCGCUAGUAAUCGCAGAUCAGCAACGCUGCGGUGAAUACGUUCCCGGG